rnacentral:rRNA from 1 species
GACGAACGCUGGCGGCGUGCUUAACACAUGCAAGUCGAACGAAGUGGCGAACGGGUGAGUAACGCGUAAUCAACCUGCCCUUCAGAGGGGGACAACAGUUGGAAACGACUGCUAAUACCGCAUACUGAAGGAGGGGAUUGCGACGGAUUAGCUAGUUGGGGGGGUAACGGCCGACCAAGGCGAUGAUCAGUAGCCGGUCGGGGAGGGUGAACGGCCACAAUGGGACGGGGAAAAGGCCCAGACUCCUACGGGAGGCAGCAGUGGGGAAGCUUCCGAAAAUGAGGAAAGUCUGACGGAGCAACGCCGCGGGAGUGAUGAAGGCCUUCGGGUUGUAAAGCUCUGUUAAUCGGGACGCGGUACCGGAAUAGAAAGCCACGGCUAACUACGUGCCAGCAGCCGCGGUAAUAC